rnacentral:rRNA from 1 species
GAUAUCAAAGAUUUUAUCGCUUGAAGAUGGACUCGCGUCCGAUUAGUUAGUUGGUGAGGUAACGGCUCACCAAGACCGCGAUCGGUAGCCGGACUGAGAGGUUGAACGGCCACAUUGGGACUGAGAACCGGCCCAGACUCCUACGGGAGGCAGCAGUGGGGGAUAUUGCGCAAUGGGGGCAACCCUGACGCAGCAACGCCGCGUGAAGGAUGAAGGUUUUCGGAUUGUAAACUUCUUUUAUUAAGGACGAAACUUGACGGUACUUAAUGAAUAAGCUCCGGCUAACUACGUGCCAGCAGCCGCGGUAAUACGUAGGGAGCAAGCGUUGUCCGGAUUUACUGGGUGUAAAGGGUGCGUAGGCGGCUUUGCAAGUCAGAUGUGAAAUCUAUGGGCUCAACCCAUAAACUGCAUUUGAAACUGUAGAGCUUGAGUGAAGUAGAGGCAGGCGGAAUUCCCCGUGUAGCGGUGAAAUGCGUAGAGAUGGGGAGGAACACCAGUGGCGAAGGCGGCCUGCUGGGCUUUAACUGACGCUGAGGCACGAAAGCGUGGGUAGCAAACAGGAUUAGAUACCCUGGUAGUCCACGCUGUAAACGAUGAUUACUAGGUGUGGGGGGUCUGACCCCUUCCGUGCCGGAGUUAACACAAUAAGUAAUCCACCUGGGGAGUAC